rnacentral:rRNA from 1 species
UACGGGGGGAGCAAGCGUUGUUCGGAUUUACUGGGCGUAAAGGGCGCGUAGGCGGCGCAACAAGUCACUUGUGAAAUCUCCGGGCUUAACUCGGAGCGGCCAAGUGAUACUGUCGUGCUAGAGUGCGGAAGGGGCUACUGGAAUUCUCGGUGUAGCGGUGAAAUGCGUAGAUAUCGAGAGGAACACCUGCGGCGAAGGCGACCACCUGGACUGAUACUGACACUGAGGUGCGAAAGCGUGGGGAGCAAACAGG